GGGCAUGCAGCUUAAUGGUAAAGCACUUGCCUCGCGUGUAUGAGGUCCUGGGUUUGAUUUUCAUCAUCCCCU
rnacentral:tRNA from 1 species